AGCGAACGCUGGCGGCAGGCCUAACACAUGCAAGUCGAACGGACCCUUCGGGGUUAGUGGCGGACGGGUGAGUAACACGUGGGAACGUGCCUUUAGGUUCGGAAUAGCUCCUGGAAACGGGUGGUAAUGCCGAAUGUGCCCUUCGGGGGAAAGAUUUAUCGCCUUUAGAGCGGCCCGCGUCUGAUUAGCUAGUUGGUGAGGUAACGGCUCACCAAGGCGACGAUCAGUAGCUGGUCUGAGAGGAUGACCAGCCACACUGGGACUGAGACACGGCCCAGACUCCUACGGGAGGCAGCAGUGGGGAAUCUUGCGCAAUGGGCGAAAGCCUGACGCAGCCAUGCCGCGUGAAUGAUGAAGGUCUUAGGAUUGUAAAAUUCUUUCACCGGGGACGAUAAUGACGGUACCCGGAGAAGAAGCUCCGGCUAACUUCGUG
rnacentral:rRNA from 1 species